GACGAACGCUGGCGGCGUGCUUAAUACAUGCAAGUCAACUGAACUUAGGACAGCAAUAUUUUAAGGGAGGUGGCGCACGGGUGAGUAACACGUAGGUAAUCUGCCUUUAGGUCUGACAUAACCUACCGAAAGGUAGGCUAAAAUCAGAUGAUGCAGCGGCUCGACAUCGAGACAGUUGUUAAAUCUUCGGAGCCUAAAGAUGAGCCUGCGUCUGAUUAGGUAGUUGGCGGUGUAAUGGACCACCAAGCCUGCGAUCAGUAGCUGGUCUGAGAGGAUGAUCAGCCACACUGGAACUGAGACACGGUCCAGACUCCUACGGGAGCAGCAGUAAGGAUAUUGCUCAAUGGCCGAAAGGCUGAAGCAGCAACGCCGCGU
rnacentral:rRNA from 1 species